rnacentral:tRNA from 1 species
GGUGGUGUAGCUCAGUUGUGGAGUUCAUGCCUUGCAUACACAGGAGUCUGGGUUCAAUCCUUGGCACCACUA